AGAACUUUUUAAUGCUUGUCUCUCCUGACACAAGAAACUUGAAAUUAAUUUUGUUUGUAGCUAACAUCUGUUAUGAAAUAUUAAACAAAAAUUAUUUUGAUUGUAUGAAUCAGGGCUUUUGGAUUUUUGGCUCCUUUGAUCUGAGGGAAUUAUGAGAAACUGAAUUUUUGAGAUUGGUGAAUUAUUAGGGAAGUGUUUUGAAAGUACUUUCCCAUUACACAAGAUUACAAGUUCUUAACUCUGCUCAGGAGAAUUUCUGGCCAAGAUACUUGUAACAGGAUGCUCUCCUAUGUCUCAGGAAAGGCUUUCCCAAUAGAACCAGGGGGUAACUUGGAGAUUGUGGGUUUGGUUCUAGAAUACAACAAUAAAGUGAAUGUUGCAAUGAGGCGGAGUCUCUCUCUUGUCACCCAGGCUGGAGUGCAUGGUACGAU